rnacentral:rRNA from 1 species
CCUACGGGAGGCAGCAGUAGGGAAUCUUCCACAAUGGACGAAAGUCUGAUGGAGCAACGCCGCGUGAGUGAAGAAGGGUUUCGGCUCGUAAAGCUCUGUUAGUAGUGAAGAAAGAUAGAGGUAGUAACUGGCCUUUAUCUGACGGUAACUAUGUAGAAAGCCACGGCUAACUCCGUGCCAGCAGCCGCGGUAAUACGUGGGUGGCAAGCGUUGUUCGGAUUUAUUGGGCGUAAAGGGAGUUCAGGCGGUUCCAUAAGUAUUAUGUGAAAGCCUUCGGCCCAACCGGAGAAUUGCAUCCGAAACUGGUGAACUUGAGGGCAGAAGAGGAGAGUGGAACUCCAUGUGUAGCGGUGAAAUGCGUAGAUAUAUGGAAGAACACCAGUGGCGAAGGCGGCUCUCUGGUCUGCAACUGACGCUGAGGCUCGAAAGCCUGGGUAGCGAACAGGAUUAGAUACCCGGGUAGUC